rnacentral:misc_RNA from 1 species
AAGUCGUAACAAGGUUUCCGUAGGUGAACCUGCGGAAGGAUCAUUAACACGUAUCCAAACGUUAAAACCCCCCUGAAAGCCCUCCCGCGCACUCGGCAAUGGACAUCCCUAGUAAAUCAUCGUCUGAAAUAGAUUUUGAGUUAGGGACAUCCCCCACCGCGGGACCUGGCGGAGGCUCAAACACUCUGGUGCCCCCAAGCAACCAUCAUCUGAAAGUGUUGGUGAAUUGUGCAAGGGCGGCGUCGUCAACGCUCGCUGUAGGCCCACACGGCCGGCGACCGGAGUCUUCCCUCGAUCUACUACGAGGCCCUUCAAACCCCCCCAUGCAUGGCAAACGCGCGCGCCUAACGGUUGUACGCACCCCUAAAACCGAACAACUGUUAACAAUGGAUAUCUUGGUUCUC